rnacentral:tRNA from 1 species
AUUCUUUUAGUAUAAAAAAUAUAUUUAACUUCCAAUUAAAAGAUCUUAUAAGAGAAAGAAUA